AGUCCACAGUCAUCCAUAAUAGCUCUAUACAAACCAAUGUUUAGAAAUGUAUAUAUCGGGACAAGCCCCCGAUAAUAGCAAAACCAAGUCAAAAUGAGAUAGUCUAAGUUCAGGAGACCAAGAAGGAAUGUCUUCUGAAGUAAGAAAGAUCACCACUCCCAAGUCAACGCACGAACCGCUCCAAUUACCUAAUCAUUGUGAAGAAAGAGAAUAUGAUGCUCCGAGCCCUAUGUUGCUUGGGGACAUAGCGUUUGAAGAAAGUUAGCAUUUGGAGCGCUAGUAUAUAACUUAAGGAUAAGAAUAAAACAGUAUUAUCAAUCAACCAUAAGUCAACAUAUCAUAUUCAACCAUAUUCAUGACCUUAUCCAUACAUAUAGGUAUAUCACAUGCUAACAAGUAAACAAGACAUAACAACAUUCUCAAAGCACUCGAUCAUGAGACAUGAAGUGGAGGAAUCCAACCUUCUACACUAAAAUUAAAUAAUUCUUAUUAGGUAUGGGACUUCAACUACAUUCACAUAUCACUUAGACGGAGGACUUAACCAUGUAUACACUUAUUAAGCAAGGGACUCUAAUCACAUACACACCCAUUCAAGAAAGGGACUCUAACUACAUACUCAUAUUCAUUUAGGCAAGGGACUAUGACAUGUAUAUUUAAAACAAAUUAAGAUGGGACCACACCUUAAAAAUUGAUUUACUUAAAAAAGAUAUGAAAUGGCAAGUAAAGGGAAAGGAAUAACGUGACGAGUACCACACAUUUCUUUACAAAUUCAGAUGCUCACACAAAAUGUAACAACAACACAGGACUUAGCAAAAUAAUUAAAUAAAUAAAUAAAUAAAUAAAAUGCUUGUGGAUCCAAGAAAGUGAGACAAAGGUGAACAUAAUUUCAAAGAGAUAAGUAUGCACCUUUUAGUCGAGCAGCAAAUGCGAGGCUUUAAUGUUAGGGAUUUUCCAGGUGCGAGAAUCAAAAUUUAAGAAUUCAAACGUGAAUUGAACAAUCAGAAGAAGGAAUCAAUGACUCCCGCAGCUUCAUUGGUGGAUUUCAAAAAAGACUCAAAACCAAUUUUUUUUAUCUUCUCUCAAUUUUUUUUUGUUUUCAUUCUUCUUCAACCUCUUUGUUCUAAAUUUGUUUUCUCUCUAUUUAUCACUUUGUUUCCCUUUUCCAGCCCCUUUUUUUUGCUUUUCAAAACCUGUCCCUGAUGGGGAUGGCAACACCCAUAUUUGUAUAGGUGCAAAUCCUGACUUGAAAGUCCGAAUUUGAAACCUCAGAAUUGAAAAAAUGGGAAGAAAGGGUAGAAAUUUUAAAUUCUGAGAUGAAUCCUUCCAAAUCUCAUCUUUUUAG
rnacentral:lncRNA from 1 species